GACAGAGGUCCCGAGCGUUAGGCGGAAUCACUGGGCUUAAAGCGUGUGUAGGCGGCGGCCUAAGUACCUUGUGAAAUCCCACGGCUCACCCGUGGAACUGCUCGGUAUACUGGGUCGCUUGAGCCACUUAGGGGCUACCGGAACAAAUGGUGGAGCGGUGAAAUGCGUUGAUAUCAGAAGGAACGCCGGUGGCGAAAGCGCUCGACUGGACCUCUGCUGACGCUGAGGCGCGAAAGCUAGGGGAGCAAACGGG
rnacentral:rRNA from 1 species